GACGAACGCUGGCGGCGUGCCUAACACAUGCAAGUUGAGCGACGAACCAGGGCUUGCCCUGGGGCAAAGCAGCGAACGGGUGAGUAACACGUGGGUAACCUACCCCGAUAACCGGGACAACCCGAGGAAACUCGGGCUAAUACCGGAUGUGCUCACUGGACUUCGGUUCAGUGCGUAAAGGAAGCUUCGGCCUCCGUAUCGGGAGGGGCCCGCGGCCCAUUAGUUUGUUGGUGAGGUAACGGCUCACCAAGACCGCGAUGGGUAGCUGGUCUGAGAGGACGAUCAGCCACACUGGGACUGAGACACGGCCCAGACUCCUACGGGAGGCAGCAGUGGGGAAGCUUGCGCAAUGCGCGAAAGCGUGACGCAGCAACGCCGCGUGGGGGAAGAAGGCCUUCGGGUUGUAAACCCCUUUCAGGAGGGACGAAGGUUCGGCGGUGAAUAGCCGUCCGGACUGACGGUACCUCCACAAGAAGCCCCGGCUAACUACGUG
rnacentral:rRNA from 1 species